rnacentral:tRNA from 1 species
GAUGGAUGGCUCAAGAGGUAGAGCACUUGCCUAAUAAGCACAAGACUCUGAAUUCAAAUUCCAGUACCACCA